rnacentral:rRNA from 1 species
UACGUAGGGAGCAAGCGUUGUCCGGAAUCAUUGGGCGUAAAGCGCACGUAGGCGGCCCCGUAAGUCCGCUGUGAAAGUCAAAGGCUCAACCUUUGAAAGCCGGUGGAUACUGUGGGGCUAGAGUCCGGAAGAGGCGAGUGGAACUCCUGGUGUAGCGGUGGAAUGCGCAGAUAUCAGGAGGAACACCAAUAGCGAAGGCAGCUCGCUGGGACGGUACUGACGCUAAGGUGCGAAAGCGUGGGGAGCGAUCCGG